rnacentral:misc_RNA from 1 species
GCGCUCAGCUCACGCCACAUCUUCCAGCAGACCCACAGCAGCAGGAGGCCGCCCGCGAGCAACAGUCCGACAAUGGCCAAAAGCUGGGUUGUAAGAGCCGCGAAGAUAAUUCGCAGAAGUGUCGCGGCGCCAACGCCGAUCAAGAUUGCCUUGUUGCGUUGCCCUUUUGGCAGACCCGCAGCGGCAAGACCGAUGACAAUCGCAUUGUCACCGGCAAGAACAAGGUCGAUGAGGAUGACCU